rnacentral:rRNA from 1 species
UACGUAGGGGGCGAGCGUUGUCCGGAGUUACUGGGCGUAAAGCGCACGCAGGCGGUCUGUUAAGUUUGGAGUGACAGUUGGUGGCUUAACUGCCAAAGUGCUUCGAAAACUGACAGACUUGAGGGCUUCAGAGGGACACGGAAUUCCGGGUGGAGUGGUGAAAUGCGUAGAGAUCCGGAGGAACACCAAAGGCAAAGGCAGUGUCCUGGGGAGUACCUGACGC